GCCUACUCUGCGCCCGACACGUCCCCUGCAAACCGUCCCUUUGUGGGAUUAGGACCAAGGGAGCCUGUGGGCAGCUUUCAGGCACAGUCCUGGUACCUGGGAUAACCACGGUCCUCGCCCCGCGCCCCUCCUCCAUCACCCCAAGAAUCCCAGGGGGCAGCACAGCCGGCCCCCUCCGAGCAAGCCCAGCCCGGCGGAGAAGAUAAAACACAACCCACGCAGGCGGAAGAGAAAAACCGAACCGAGACACGCGUGGGGGAGGGGCCAGGAAGACCCCCACCCGCCCACGCCGCCCAGCCGAGGCGCCGGACUGCAGCGCUGCCCCGCGGGAGCCGGCGCCCGCCUCAUCUCUGCACCUGCUGCUCCCACGGGCCGGACGGAAGCACGCGCGCCCGCCCCUCCCCCGGCCCCGGCCGCCCAGGUCCAGGUGAGCACCGCCCGGCGCCCGAGAACGGGGCCAUCCAUCGGGACACCCAGCGACGCCGCCUCUCCUGGGCCAUGGGGACAUCGGCCGCCCCCACCCACACCCCGUCUCCCCGUGGAUGGCCUCCGCGAGAGGGGAGGCGGGCACUUGGGGCGGGGCGCGGCAAGGACCCCAGCCGCGGGCAGCCGAGACCUUGGUGGAGGGCAGGGGUCGGGCAGAGGGGGUGCGCGGGGAGACGGCGGGCGGCGCACAGGCACUGUCGCCCCUGCCCCGCCGGAGACUCGCUCCUGCUCGCUCGCUCGCUCUCUGGGGACGGGGUCUUCCCGCCCUGCCCGCCCUGCCCGCCCUGCCCGGAGGAGAAGUCUAUGCAAUUGACACCCCAGCCCGGCUCGGCGCCCCGGGGAGGGACCCACGUUGCACACACUGUAAGAAAUGCACUUUCCCGGGCGGGGCAGGGUGGGCCUCGGGGAGGGGGAGGUGCCCCCUCCAGGUAGCCCCUGGGGAGGGGGCGCCAGAGCGAGCGGUUUAAGUGCCUGACCCCACCCUUUGUCCCCCGGGACACCGAGUGGCCACGGCGCAGCCCCUCCUAUCUCGCUCCCCCACCUCCAGUCAUCGCUGUGCCCCCUCAAAGCUAGAGAUGGGACCCCAGGGGUGGCGAUGGGCGCCCGGCCCGCCCUGCUGGGGCGCCGGGGUGGGUUCCGGGGCAGCCGGCGUGCGCCCCCAGCCUCCUCGGCCAGUGCCUUACAUCCUGGAGCGACGGCCCCCCGGAGCCCCCCCAGCCCGAUGGGGGCCACCGUUUGCACUUUCACCCCUCCACCCAGCGGGGCGUGGCCGGGGUCCCCGGGAACUGAGAGGGGGCGGGCGGGGCAGAGCGAACCGGCUAGGAGGGCGAUGCCAGGGCUCUGGCGGGAGGGGGUGAGGCGGCGCCGGCGGGGGGAGGGGGUCGUGCACGUUUUUUCCGUUGAGCAGCGCCUAAAACACUAAGCGAGGGACCCUGGCCCCACCCGCACCCCCACCCCUCCUGGCGGGGGAGGGGAGGCCGGCGAGGGGCAUGAGGUGUCCUAGGGCCUGGGAGCCCUGACGCGGGGACCCCUCCCGGCCUCUCCCGACUUUUUCCCGCAGUGCGGCGCUGGGGGGGCCUGUCCCCGCCCCCGCCCCUCCUGCCCCAGCGGCCCCCAGUCGGGCCUGGGCGAAGACCCCGGCCCGCGCGGCCCCUCCCCCAGCGGUGCAUGGUGCUUGGCGCGGGAGAGCGCAGCCUGGCUCCCGGCGUCCGCGUGACGCGUGCAUGGCAAACCCGGCUCGCCCUCCCCGCCCGGCUCCUCUUACAAAACAAAACAAACAAAAAAAAAAAAACAAACAAAAAAAGAUACAAAAAAAAAAAACUAAAAAAAAGCCCCAAUCCUCCCUGAUUCCUGAUUUGCACGGAUUUCUACCACUUGAGGUGCCUUGCCUUGGAGACGGCGCCCGCGCCUGGGCGCGCAGAGCUGCAUGCCCGCUCUGGUCCCGGCGCCGACGCGAGAGACGCCGGCCGCGCGAACGGAUGUAUUUCUAUCCAUAAACAGAAAAUAAGAUUUUUUUUUU